rnacentral:tRNA from 1 species
GGCGGUGUAGCUCAGUUGGUCAGAGCACACGGUUCAUACCCGUGUUGUCGCUGGUUCGAGUCCAGCCACCGCUACCA